rnacentral:rRNA from 1 species
UACAGAGGUCCCGAGCGUUGUUCGGAUUCAUUGGGCGUAAAGGGUGCGUAGGCGGCGGGGCAAGUCUGGUGUGAAAUCCUGGGGCUCAACCCUGGAACUGCAUUGGAUACUUCCUUGCUAGAGUACUGGAGAGGAAACUGGAAUUUACGGUGUAGCAGUGAAAUGCGUAGAGAUCGUAAGGAAGACCAGUGGCGAAGGCGAGUUUCUGGACAGUUACUGACGCUGAGGCACGAAGGCCAGGGGAGCAAACGGG